rnacentral:rRNA from 1 species
AUACGGAGGAUCCGAGCGUUAUCCGGAUUUAUUGGGUUUAAAGGGAGCGUAGGCGGACGCUUAAGUCAGUUGUGAAAGUUUGCGGCUCAACCGUAAAAUUGCAGUUGAUACUGGGUGUCUUGAGUACAGUAGAGGCAGGGGGAAUUUGGGGUGUAGGGGGGAAAUGCUUAGAUAUCACGAAGAACUCCGAUUGCGAAGGCAGCCUGCUGGACUGUAACUGACGCUGAUGCUCGAAAGUGUGGGUAUCAAACAGGAUUAGAUACCCUGGUAGUCCACACAGUAAACGAUGAAUACUCGCUGUUUGCGAUAUACAGUAAGCGGCCAAGCGAAAGCGUUAAGUAUUCCACCUGGGGAGUACGCCGGCAACGGUGAAACUCAAAUGAAUUGACGGGG